GACGAACGCUGGCGGCGUGCUUAACACAUGCAAGUCGAACGCUGAAGCUCAGCUUUUGUUGGGUGGAUGAGUGGCGAACGGGUGAGUAACACGUGAGUAACCUGCCCCCUUCUUUGGGAUAACGCCCGGAAACGGGUGCUAAUACUGGAUAUUCACUGGUCUUCGCAUGGGGGUUGGUGGAAAGGGUUUUUCUGGUGGGGGAUGGGCUCGCGGCCUAUCAGCUUGUUGGUGGGGUGAUGGCCUACCAAGGCUUUGACGGGUAGCCGGCCUGAGAGGGUGACCGGUCAGAUUGGGACUGAGAUACGGCCCAGACUCCGACGGGGGGCAGCAGUGGAGAAUAUUGCACAAUGGGCGCAAGACUGAUGCAGCGACGCCGCGUGAGGGAUGGAGGCCUUCGGGUUGGGAACCUCUUUCGCUCAUGGUCAAGCCGCAACAAUGGUUGUGGUGAGGGUAGUGGGUAAAGAAGCGCCGGCUAACUACGUG
rnacentral:rRNA from 1 species